GAUGAACGCUAGCUACAGGCUUAACACAUGCAAGUCGAGGGGAAACGACAUCGAAAGCUUGCUUUUGAUGGGCGUCGACCGGCGCACGGGUGAGUAACGCGUAUCCAACCUGCCCACCACUUGGGGAUAACCUUGCGAAAGUAAGACUAAUACCCAAUGACGUCUCUAGAAGACAUCUGAAAGAGAUCAAAGAUUUAUCGGUGAUGGAUGGGGAUGCGUCUGAUUAGCUUGUUGGCGGGGUAACGGCCCACCAAGGCGACGAUCAGUAGGGGUUCUGAGAGGAAGGUCCCCCACAUUGGAACUGAGACACGGUCCAAACUCCUACGGGAGGCAGCAGUGGGGAAUAUUGGUCAAUGGGCGAGAGCCUGAACCAGCCAAGUAGCGUGCAGGAUGACGGCCCUAUGGGUUGUAAACUGCUUUUAUAAGGGAAUAAAGUGAGUCUCGUGAGACUUUUUGCAUGUACCUUAUGAAUAAGGACCGGCUAAUUCCGUGCCAGCCGCCGCCGUAA
rnacentral:rRNA from 1 species